rnacentral:rRNA from 1 species
GACGAACGCUGGCGGCGUGCUUAACACAUGCGAGUCGAACGAAGAGCGAUGGACGCUUGCUUCUAUCACUCUUAGUGGCGAACGGGUGAGUAACGCGUAAUCAACCUGCCCUUCAGAGGGGGACAACAGUUGGAAACGACUGCUAAUACCGCAUACGAUCUAAUCUCGGCAUCGAGGAUAGAUGAAAGGUGGCCUCUACAUGUAAGCUAUCACUGAAGGAGGGGAUUGCGUCUGAUUAGCUAGUUGGAGGGGUAACGGCCCACCAAGGCGAUGAUCAGUAGCCGGUCUGAGAGGAUGAACGGCCACAUUGGGACUGAGACACGGCCCAGACUCCUACGGGAGGCAGCAGUGGGGAAUCUUCCGCAAUGGACGAAAGUCUGACGGAGCAACGCCGCGUGAGUGAUGACGGCCUUCGGGUUGUAAAGCUCUGUUAAUCGGGACGAAAGGCCUUCUUGCGAAUAGUGAGAAGGAUUGACGGUACCGGAAUAGAAAGCCACGGCUAACUACGUG